rnacentral:rRNA from 1 species
AUGGCUCAGAUUGAACGCUGGCGGCAUGCCUUACACAUGCAAGUCGAACGGCAGCACGGGAGCUUGCUCCUGGUGGCGAGUGGCGAACGGGUGAGUAAUACAUCGGAACGUACCCUGGAGUGGGGAUAACGUAGCGAAAGUUACGCUAAUACCGCAUAUUCUGUGAGCAGGAAAGAGGGGGAUCGCAAGACCUCUUGCUUUAGGAGCGGCCGAUGUCGGAUUAGCUAGUUGGUGAGGUAAAGGCUCACCAAGGCGACGAUCCGUAGCGGGUCUGAGAGGAUGAUCCGCCACACUGGGACUGAGACACGGCCCAGACUCCUACGGGAGGCAGCAGUGGGGAAUUUUGGACAAUGGGCGCAAGCCUGAUCCAGCCAUGCCGCGUGAGUGAAGAAGGCCUUCGGGUUGUGAAGCUCUUUCGGUGGGGAAGAAAUGGCACGGGUUAAUACCCUGUGUUGAUGACGGUACCCGCAUAAGAAGCACCGGCUAACUACGUG